rnacentral:rRNA from 1 species
UACGUAGGGCGCAAGCGUUAUCCGGAAUUAUUGGGCGUAAAGCGCACGUAGGCGGUUCGUUAUGUCGGAUGUGAAAGCCCUUGGCUUAACCGAGGAAGUGCAUCCGAAACUGGCGAGCUAGAGUACGAAAGAGGAUCGCGGAAUUCCCGGUGUAGAGGUGAAAUUCGUAGAUAUCGGGAGGAACACCGGUGGCGAAGGCGGCGAUCUGGGUCGAUACUGACGCUGAGGUGCGAAAGCGUGGGGAGCAAACAGG